AAGACUGUGCUAACAAGUUUGUUACAGCCAUGAUAUAACGAGGAUGUUACAAGGUUGUCAACACAAGGUUGUAACAAUCUUGUUAUAUCAAGCAUGUAACGAACUUGUCAGAACAACCUU